UACGUAGGGUGCAAGCGUUAAUCGGAAUUACUGGGCGUAAAGCGUGCGCAGGCGGUCCGUUAAGACAGAUGUGAAAUCCCCGGGCUUAACCUGGGAACUGCAUUUGUGACUGGCGGACUCGAGUAUGGCAGAGGGGGGGUAGAAUUCCACGUGUAGCAGUGAAAAUGCGUAGAGAUGUGGAGGAAUACCGAUGGCGAAGGCAGCCCCCUGG
rnacentral:rRNA from 1 species